CAGCAUGUGGGAUCUUCCCGGACCGGGGCAUGAACCCGUGUCCCCUGCAUUGGCAGGCGGACUCUCAACCACUGCGUCACCAGGGAAGCCCUAAAUAAGCACUCUUGCUCAUUCCUUAAGGAGGAAGACUCAGUUGAUGGAAGAACCUAUUGUUUAGUCUUAACAUCCACUGUAAUUCCAAACUUUGAAGACAGUAGAGAUGAGUGGGCUUUCACCGCCCAGCAUCAUUCUCCCGUCUUAGAUAAGAGCACCUUGAUUUACUCUGAGGGACCACCUCCUUCCUACUCUCAGAUCAGGUUCUGGUGUAGUAAAGUCCAUCCUUUGGUUCUAGAUGGAGGACACAUGACUGUGCCAGUCAGAGAAUGGCAGUUAGCAUGGGCAUGGUCUGAAAUUCAGGCCAGUCAGGGCUCUGGACUUUCACUGGAACUGUUAAGUAGUGAAUUCUCAUUUCUUUUCCAACUGGAUUGCCAGUCCUGUAGAAUGUACAUAAUCCUGAGGCUGCUGGUGACCAGGGGGAGUUCUGAAGCCAACACAGAUGAAAACUGAGCUGCAAGAUCGAAAGAGAUGGAGACUAAAUGACAUCUUUUGAGCACCGGGAUCUAACCAUACCUUAAGCUAGUCUAACUCUGGAUGUCUCUUUUACAUGGGUCUAGGCUUUCCCUUUUUUUUUCCUUUUGAAAGUGUGAUUUGGAUUUUUGUCAUCUGCAGCCGGUUGAGUGCUAAUUCAGGUCAUCAUGAAUUAUAUAUAGUUCUCACUGUAAAGUGUGGUUUGGCUUUUCUUAACAGACAGUUUUGUCCUAAAGCACUAAAUUGUAAGUUUGCUCUAUGAAGCAGAUGAGACCAUAAAGAACCUAGUAUCAUCCUCUCUACAUAGAAAAAAAGUAAUUUUUUUUGAAGUAAAUAUUAACUACAGGAAGUAAGGAGGGAGGGAGGAAGGGGAACGGGAAGGAAGAUAGGGCGCUGAAUUAAAAGAACCCUGAAGUCCGUAGGUAUCUAAGAACCCUCAGACCCUAUCAGGUCUUCCUGUUCUAAAUGCCCCUAGUGCCCUAUACUUUUACCUAACCCUUCAUCAUAGUUAGUAAUGAUAUGUUUAUGUAAUAUUUUGAUUAAUGUCUGUCUUCUUCACUGACCUGGCAAUUCCACUAGGGCAGUGACUUUACUCAAUGUUAUAUCCCCACAACUAGUUCAGCGUGUGGCAUUCAGCAAACGUUUAUUGAAUGAAUUGUCACAUAUAGUUACCCAGAUUGGACUGACCCUCCUUGAUUAUUGGGGUUAAGAUUGUGGCAGAAUUGGCCAAAUCAGGGAAAGCUGUCCCUGUCCCCUUUGUAUCUCCUAUACUACCCACACCCCCAACACAUAUACAGAGAAUUUUUGUCUUAAUGAGUUAGUUAAAUCAAACCUCUAGUGCUAUAUUGUUAUAAGGUCAUUUUAUUGAGGAAUUAAAUAGUGUGGUUGUUGACUUAAUAUGUGGAAAGCCUUGCAGAGGAGUGGGUCAGAUCUGUGUGAUUAACAAGCAGUCUUCCUUGCUCCUUUGUCUUUAUAAAAUGAUCUAUUUAACUGAGAUAGUCCACCCUCACUCAGGCUUGCCCAGAAAUGUGUUGGAGGCUGUAGGAAAGCCCAGGAAGUCGAUGAGGGAGAGGUUGGGGAUGCUGGAGACUUGACUCUCUAGCAAGAAACAGACGCAGUAAAAAGUGGCCCCUGGGAAGAGAGGGGGCGGAUAUCCUGAAGCUCACUCCUUCCUCCCUCCUGCUCUGGGCUGGGCCCAGCAGGAGCUCCAGUACACCAUCCCACCCCCUGACUGGCCACACAAAGCAUCCUCCUCCCAGAUGAAGCUGUGGUUCAUCCCUUCCCCCAGCCUGCUUUCCCUGAGAUGGGGAGAGUGUUUCCCAAGGCCCACGUGACUUCCACUGGCAAGUGACGACUACAGAUGGUUUACCAGUCAGUAAAACUGCCAAAGGCUUUUGUGCUGUAAUAAUCCUUUUCCUGUUUAAAACUCUGGGGAUUUUCUACUGUUGCCAGUAGUUUUUCAAGUCAGCAAUUACAGCGUAGAUUAUGUAAUGGCUAGGUAUUAAAAAUAGAAAAGACCAGAGUUUGCAUCUAUUUUAACCAAAUCAAGAGCAAAGGGAGGGGAAAGGAGGAGAGGGAGAGACCAGAGGAGGAGGGAAAAAGAAAUGACGUGACAAGAAGCAGUGAGAUCUCAUCAUGUGACUGGACAAUCAGCCCACAAUUUAUUCUGCCCUUUUCCUGCCUUUCUUGGCCCCAGCUCCUGCACUUCCAUCCAAGGCCUCCACAAGGGAGGGGACCCUGCCGAGAAUUCUGAGGACUCAAGACCCUCUUGGAUAUUCCUCAGCUCAGCCUUGGGGUGUUUGCCUGCCCCUGACAAGCGGAGUGACUAAGAGGGGAAGGAAUUGAAUUUGAGAAUUCAUAAUUGGCAGCAUUGUGAUGGCUUCUUCCUAGUUUCUUCUGUGCAUGUCUCAAGGGUUUCCACAUCUGCAGACGGAAGAGCUUAAUCCUCCAUCAGUAUCCUCCGACAGCACAUUCAGUUGGGGGCAGUGUCUUAUCUUCCGACGUCCGUUCACCCUCAUGCUUCACACAUACUCUGCCACUGAUGGUUUCUUAGACUCUGGCUUUCUUCAGGCCCUUGAUAUCAACCAGUUACCCUUUGGUAAGAGAUUAAGCCAUUCCACUACUCUCCCAGAGGCAUUUGCAUUUAGAACUACAGGUAUAAUAGAAAUAAUGGAAGAUGUUGCAUUCCUGAGGGAAGGCGAUCCUGGAAUGAAUUAUUCAUUUGCUCAUUCUAGAACGUCCCAUCCUUCUGCCCUGCCACCCCCUCUCUCUAUUCCUGCUCGUGCCUUGGUAAACCCUACUUCCUCCAAGAAGACUUCCCCGACUCCUGUCCCUUCCAGGUGAGGCCAGUUUUAGGGCUCUGAACAGAUUCCAUUUGGCUUCCCAGUUGAGGGUGGAGGUGGCAGGGAUGGAUCUCAGGAAGAUGUAGCUGCAGGAUGGAUGUGCAUUAGGUCUCUGCAUUUCAAACUUCCAGUGAAAAAUAUAUCUUAUGUCCCAAUUACCGCACACACCUACAUACAGAUAUAUAAAACUGAAGCAAAAAUUUUGUAAAAAUAACACUCACUACGUGUGAUGCAUUUGGA